rnacentral:lncRNA from 1 species
AUGAACAUUCGUGAGUGGGAAUGUGAAAAUCGAAUAUGUUGUGAUCAGGACACUGGCCGCCAGAUGGACCCCCGGCGACGCGAAGCUGAUGCAACGACGCUCAGGCUAGAGGGAUUUUUUGGAAAUGAAGGGAUUCUGAGUUUGACCAUCGCGCGGGUUGCGUCGCCUUUUUCCCAGCUUCGGAAACCGCCUCCGUCCUUUGGGUCUCGCCUUUCUCUGUUUGUUUGAUUUUAUUUCGUCACCCAAUACAUGUUCCAUCACGCACUUUUGAUUUUUCAUUCCAUUUUUUUUGUUCUCCCAAACCCCCGCGCCCGUGCCAAGGCUAUUACGGGCCCGUGACAAGGCCACCACAGGCCCCGCGACAGUUGUUUUGUCCCGUGAUCAUUAAAUGAAGAUACGUACUUGUUUUGUGUCACUGCGUGCCUUGUUCAUACAUAGCAACUUUUAAAAGAGUUUAUGUGGGGAAACAUUUUUUUGUUGGGAAUGUACAUUUUUGCCAUCUGUGCUUCAACGUCAAUAGCACCUAAAGACGGAUGUUGCUCACAGUUUUCAUCAGAUCAUUCAGCAAUAAAACGACGUAAUUAGGUUAAAUACACCAUACUUUUCAUGGGUAAGCAAGAGAGUUUUAGAGUAAAUCUUUCCUGUGGAAAAAAUCAUGGCUCAUUCCUGUCACGGUACGUGAAAUAUUGCGAAUCGAGAACACCCAUAGUGACGUUAAUUGUCGCUUUCAUUUUCAAUGCAUGACAUUAAUACAAGCGCAUUCAAAUACUGUUGUUUUCCUUAAUUUCUGACCCUGACAUGAUUAAUAUCCCGUGCAUGACAUUUUCAGUUAUCUCUUCGUUUUUUCCUUUUUUCUUGACACAUAGCUCAUUUCCCAACUGUUAAAAUUGUCACUGAACCAGUCAACUAAAAACCAUUUAAAGCGAUGAUGCGUUAUUUUUAUAUCAAUUUAUUUUUCUUGCUGCUUUUAAUUUAUUUUCAAGGAAUCCACGUGAGUAAUUGCUCCCUUAUGCUUUCAAUUUUUCUAUUGUAUUGUUUUUCAUUCAUACUGAUACAUACACCUGAAAAUUUGAUUAAGUAUCCUCCCAAAAUGAGCCAAUUUUGAAUCUCUCUAAUAAAGAGCUCUACCAGCAACUGUGAACACGAUCCUGAAGUUAGUGUGAACCUCUUUCUAAAGUGUUUGAACGAAAAAAAGAGAUAAAUUCCUCCAAAAGAUCAAUGGCAGUGGCUUAUUCUAUUAAUACAUUAAAUAAUAAUAAUGGAACUCAAAAAUCUAUAUUCUUGCCUUUUUAAUAGUGUAACAUUCUCAUUUUUGCGUAAAAUAUAACUUACGCAUUAACACGAGCAGACAUAUCAUUAUAGAAUACUUUAAUAGACAGAAUUUAGCGAGACAUUAAUAUGUAGUGAAUCUGUGGAGGAAAAGAACCCAGUCAUCUUUCCGUCACCUAUCUCCGACGACCCCCAUCGCUCUUCAAAGCGUCACCUCCCGGCCAAAGUAUCACAAGCGCCAUUCAAUGUUUCAAAAUUUCCGCCGCCAUUUUAUUUUUUACAGAGAGAUUGUUCCACGUAGCUGUCCUAAAAUUUCACUGAAUUUUCUUUGUGCUGUCGAUAAAAUGCAGUGAAAUUUUCAAACAGAUUCAACUAACAAUAAAGGACACUAUUCAAAAUCGGCAUUUUUGGCCCCCCCGGGG